UAACAAGGUCUCCGUUGGUGAACCAGCGGAGGGAUCAUUACCGAGUUUACAACUCCCAAACCCCUGUGAACAUACCUUAAUGUUGCCUCGGCGGAUCAGCCCGCGCCCCGUAAAACGGGACGGCCCGCCAGAGGACCCAAACUCUAAUGUUUCUUAUUGUAACUUCUGAGUAAAACAAACAAAUAAAUCAAAACUUUCAACAACGGAUCUCUUGGUUCUGGCAUCGAUGAAGAACGCAGCAAAAUGCGAUAAGUAAUGUGAAUUGCAGAAUUCAGUGAAUCAUCGAAUCUUUGAACGCACAUUGCGCCCGCUGGUAUUCCGGCGGGCAUGCCUGUUCGAGCGUCAUUUCAACCCUCAAGCCCCCGGGUUUGGUGUUGGGGAUCGGCUCUGCCUUACGGCGGUGCCGCCCCCGAAAUACAUUGGCGGUCUCGCUGCAGCCUCCAUUGCGUAGUAGCUAACACCUCGCAACUGGAACGCGGCGCGGCCAUGCCGUAAAACCCCAACUUCUGAAUGUUGACCUCGGAUCAGGUAGGAAUACCCGCUGAACUUAAGCAUAUCA
rnacentral:rRNA from 1 species